CAGUCGCCACGGGAAUACGUAGGGGGCAAGCGUUAUCCGGAUUUACUGGGCGUAAAGGGCGCGUAGGCGGACUGAUAAGUCAGGGGUGAAAUCCCAAGGCUCAACCUUGGAACUGCCUUUGAUACUGUUUGUCUUGAGUUCGAGAGAGGUAAGUGGAACUGCGAGUGUAGAGGUGAAAUUCGUAGAUAUUCGCAAGAACACCAGUGGCGAAGGCGGCUUACUGGCUCGAAACUGACGCUGAGGCGCGAAAGCGUGGGGAGCAGACAGGAUUAGAUACCCCAGUAGUCCCUGUCUCUUAUAC
rnacentral:rRNA from 1 species